UACGGAGGGUGCAAGCGUUAAUCGGAAUUACUGGGCGUAAAGCGCGCGUAGGCGGCUUGUUAAGUCGGAUGUGAAAUCCCCGGGCUCAACCUGGGAACUGCAUUCGAUACUGGCUGGCUAGAGUGUGGUAGAGGGAAGUGGAAUUCCAGGUGUAGCGGUGAAAUGCGUAGAGAUUUGGAGGAAUACCAGUGGCGAAGGCGGCCCCCUGGCACAACACUGACGCUCAGGUGCGAAAGCGU
rnacentral:rRNA from 1 species